CCCAGAUCGGGGCUAUCAGGGGAUGUAACUUUUGUGGGGGUUUUGUGUGUUAAAAGGUAUUUUGAGGGGUUUAUAAAAUUGUGUGUUUUUGUGUCUGGAGAUAAUUGAGUUAUUACAGUACUUGCGCAAUUAAAUCCCAGGUACAGAGGAGGGAUUGACCUAGUUAGGUGUGGCAGUGUCCUGGAUCUGAGAGCCAAUGUAAUUGUGUAUUUGUUUCUGCUGUGGUUUACUCUCAGGUCCAGUGCAUGGGGACUUGCAUAAAAGGCCAGUUGUGGCUACCAAUAAAUGAGUUCCUG